GACGAACGCUGGCGGCGUGCUUAACACAUGCAAGUCGAACGGUGAUGCUCCAGCUUGCUGGAGUGGAUCAGUGGCGAACGGGUGAGUAACACGUGAGCAACCUGCCCCAGACUCUGGAAUAAGCGCUGGAAACGGCGUCUAAUACUGGAUACGAAACUGGCCCGCAUGGGCAUGGUUUGGAAAGUUUUUCGGUUUGGGAUGGGCUCGCGGCCUAUCAGCUUGUUGGUGAGGUAAUGGCUCACCAAGGCGACGACGGGUAGCCGGCCUGAGAGGGCGACCGGCAACACUGGGACUGAGACACGGCCCAGACUCCUACGGGAGGAAGCAGUGGGGAAUAUUGCACAAUGGGCGAAAGCCUGAUGCAGCGACGCCGCGUGAGGGAGGACGGCCUUCGGGUUGUAAACCUCUUUCAGCAGGGAAGAAGCGAAAGUGACGGUACCGGCAGAAGAAGCACCGGCUAACUACGU
rnacentral:rRNA from 1 species